GUGGGGAAUAUUGGGCAAUGGGGGCAACCCUGACCCAGCGACGCCGCGUGGGUGAAGAAAUCCUUCGGGAUGUAAAGCCCUGUUGUAUGGGAAGAGCAGAAGACGGUAUCAUACGAGGAAGCCCCGGCAAACUACGUGCCAGCAGCCGCGGUAAUACGCAGGGGGCAAGCGUUGUCCGGAAUUACUGGGCGUAAAGCGCACGCAGGCUGACUUAUAAGUCGGUAGUCUAAUGAGGAGGAUCAACUUCCGUUUAUCUAUCGACACGGUAAGACUAGAGUAUGUGAGAGGGAAGUGGAAUUCCCGGUGUAGCGGUUAAAUGAGUAGAUAUCGGGAGAAACACCAGUGGCGAAGGCGACUUCCUGGCACAAUACUGACGCUAAUGUGCGAAAGCUAGGGUAGCGAACGGGAUUAGAAACCCCGGUAGUCC
rnacentral:rRNA from 1 species